CUUUGACAGUAGCCGUUGACGCACUACUGGCGUCAAUUCAAUAAGCGCGUUGCUCUGCAAAAGACGCUUUCAUUACAUUCACGUUUCAGAAGCCGAAGAGGCGUUACAUACAUAUUAGCGUUGAAACGUUUUAAAAGACAAUUUUGUAAUUAUUCAUCCACACCGAACUAUGGCUACUGAUAAGUGCGAAGAGAGCUUGAUGUUGGCGACAUUGAAUGACGAUUGUAUCUUCACCAUAUUGGAAAGGCUGCCAUUAGAUGCCAUUUAUUCGUACAGCAGGACUUGCAAGCGCAUUCAAAGAUUGUG